CUCAUUAAUAUGGGUGGCCUA
rnacentral:piRNA from 1 species